rnacentral:lncRNA from 1 species
CUUUAAAAUAGUUUCUUUUGUCUUAAGUUUUCAUUUCUACGUUUGUCCCUUCAUUCAGUCUCUUAAAUGACGGUCUCAAGCAGUAACAGUAGUAAUUGCUGUAAUGACGGUCUCAAGUAGUAACCAGGGCACUCUGCCACAAGUGGCACCUGAACAGGGACUAACAGGGACUAUCAAGAACAAACGGAGACCUGAAGAGACCUGAAGGGAACUGAAGAGGUCUGCAGGGACAAAUAGAGAUAAGUAGGGAUAAAUAGAGAUAAAUAGAGACAAAUAGAGAUAGGUAAGGAAUGACAGGGACUUGCAGGAAGUAACAGGGACCAUAGGGACAGAUAGGGAUAGAUAAAGACUAGCAAAGACUAGCCGAGAUUAGCAAAGACCAGCAAGGACUAGCAGAGACUAGCAAAGACUAGCAGAAACUUGCAGGGACAGGCAGAGACAGAUAGGGACAGAUAGGGUCCUACAGGGACUUGAACGAGGAAGAUCUGCUGGAAAAGAAAAGAACUACAACCAACCAGAUGAACAAGAAACCCUGUUACAAGUCUGCUGGCAGCAACAUAAGUAAAUGAUAGCUCCUUACAAAUACAGAGGACAAAAUAAAAGUGA